ACCAGCUGUGGUGUGGCUAUGGCUUUGCAGAGCACUCUGGAGGCGGUGUGGUUGGGGCUUCUCCUCAGCUCCCUCUGGAAGGUUGCAGAGAAUAAGGACCAAGUAUUUCAGCCUUCCUCCGUGGUGUCUUCAGAGGGAGCUGUGGCGGAAAUCUCCUGCAAUCACUCCAUAUCAACUGCUUAUAACUUCUUCUGGUACCUUCACUUCCCUGGACUUGCACCAAGACUCCUUGUACAGGGCUCGAGGCCUUCUCAGCAGGGGUGCUACCACAUGACAUAUGAGCGAUUCUCCUCUUCACUGCUCAUCCUCCAGGUGCAGGUGGCAGAUGCUGCCACUUACUACUGUGCUCUGCAGGACACAGAGGCACAGAACCUAUGA